ensembl:lncRNA
AGCAGCAUCUCAGCUCUGUUCUACCAUGCAGACAUGGGCAGGCAUGGUUCAAUUGGCAGUUUGGCAUCACUGGCUAUAAAGUAUAACACUGGGCUUUGUGUGACAGCUUUAAUCAACUUCUGCCUCAAGGUCACCCUUGGUUUCUGAGUUAUGGGAGCACUGAAACCUGUUAGGAUAUAUUGUGAUGAAGGUAAGUUGCUCCAUGUUCUCAGGUAGUUUGACUGUUCUGUGAUCUGUAACUACAUUGCUCCUAGUACUAAAAAUAUGCUCCGGACAAAUAUGUGUGGAUGGACAGCUCAAAUAAUAGCAAUCCAUCUUAGCAAAUGGCAUUUGUUCUUCUAUUGUUUCUUUCAACUGACUUCUCUCUUCAUAAAAGGAGAGGCUCAAUUACUCCCUUAGGAGAUUCAGAACAACCAUCUUUGUCAGAAAAGUUUAGCUUUCUGGUUCAGCACUUACAUGGUUUUGGAAGUGAGAAGGGGAUUUGCAAAGGUGUUUGGGCAGCUCAAGCCAGGAUGAGGAGGGGGAAUUGGGUGCCCAGCAGGGCUCCUGCCACUAAGCCUAACAGCUGCAGAAUCAAAAACUAUUGCUUUUUCACUUGUGCUCCCAUUUCCAUACUCACAUACAGUAGGGUCAGGAGGAUGGCUUGCAAGGUCAGUAUGUGUGCCUUAGGAAUGAUAUGUGACUUGUGUCAGAAUGGUUGCUGAGUUGCAGUUGUGAUGUAACUGAUUGAAAGAACUGCAUCUAUGUGGACAGCCAACACACUUAGUGAGACAUUCCACGUUGGUCAGGAAACUGUGAAGCUGAUUUCUGCACAGAGGAUGUGUCUGCCUGCUUGCAGGGAAGGUGGGAGGUCAGUCAAGCUGCAAAUUACCCAGGAAACCCCUCAGGUGGACCUUCUGCUAAUUAGCAGACAUGGAUGCCUGCUUUUAAACCAAGAACUAUCAGCUGAAGACCUGGGCUGUGUUGAAGAAGAAAAACCUCAAGAUAAUGUAUCUUGUUUGCUGAAAUGGCAGAUCAGGUUUAGCACACAGGUAGCAGAACACAGGUGUCUGCCUAUGAGAAAUGAAUUAUCAUCCAUACGUAUCCUUGGAAGGCAUCAAUUUCAGUGGCAGGCACUUAACAUGGAAAUUAUUGCUCUUUCAUUGAAGAAGUAGAAAUGUUUGUUUCACAAGUUGCUUAAAUUCUCUCCUGUAACUCUAUAUUGUAACUGUGAUAUCUGAAGUUAAAUAUGUCUGAGAAUCUCAAAAUUUCAGCCAGCAGCUGAAAAAACAAGAGACUUUGCCUGCGUAAGAUCAAACUCCCUGUUCUAAAAUCACGAAAAUGGAACUCUUGGAAUGUUAAUAUUAAGUCUGUAUAGUGGAAAUCCUGAAAUGGGUUUAGUCUGAACAUAUUACUUGGAAACUCCUCAAAACUGGAAAGCACGUCUGUGUAUUGGGCCUCACUUGUUUAUGCUCUCCUUCAUAUGUGUUAGUUACAGUGCCACUAAGUUUGCAGUAUGAGGUAGUAUGCAAAAUGAUGUAGCAGAUAUAAGUCCAGUUAGGUUAAGGUUUACAUUAGGGUGCAUGUUGCAGGAACCAUAUCUGGAGCUCAAAGGAGGAGCUUUCCAGGAUGCUUUGUCUUGUUGAAAACAAAGCCUGGUUGCUACUGGUUUAACCUUACCUACCCCAUUCCUUGCUCCCUCUACCCCACUCUCCCCCAUAUCAUUCUGUGACAUGUGAAAUGAAGCAGAAGGCAGUAGAAGUGUAAAUAUUGAUAUAUAUUGGAAUUCUUUUUCACAUCUGUGUUAUUGGUUGGUUUGUUUGUGUCUGCCACCCGUGGUUUAUUCCAUGUUUGUUCCAUGACACUGUUAUAAGCUCUUAACUGUUCAUUUUAUGUAAAUACAACUCUCUGGAACUGCUCUGGGUCAGGCAGUGUGAGAUAGUGAGAGCUGAUGUUAGGCAAGUAAUAUAAGCAGUUGACCAACUGUGGCUGCAGAUGUUACUCAGAUACUAAAGCGUGAGUGGCUUUGAAAGGUGUAUCUUGGUUCAGUUCUAUUUACCACGUCUUCCUUCAGCCUGGCCAUCUUCAGAACCGUUUCAGAUAGUUGGCUGUUGUUGAUAUUACCGGUGUGCAGUGUGAGUGUGUCCUAAAAGUGUGUCUGGGAAGCAGACACAAUGUAGAUGUGAUUGCAGUUGAUCUUGAGAUUCCUUCUUUUCACCUUUGUUAUGCACUGAUACACACUGGGAAUGUUGUACUGGUCUAAACCUACAUAUAGAAAGAAAGUGUGCAAGCCUUCAUCCAUUUUAGGUUCCCUGAACUUUCUAAUCCUCUGGCAUAGGGAUCUAUUUCAUUCUCCUAGCUUUGUUAGCUUUUUAAUGAGUAAAUCUGAUAAUCAGCAGAAGAUUUUCAGCCUGUGGACAUAACAAAUUUGUAGAUCUAAAAAAAAUUCUCAUUGGAAAUGCUGCUAGCUCUGUUUCUUUGCACUGGUGGUUGCUAUUAUGUAUGGUUUUUGCUUGGUUUUGUACUUGACAAGCUCUGCCAGAACAAAAUAAUAUAUUUCUACAGUUUGCAUGUGUAAUAGUUUCUUCUUAGGAUCAGUCAAAUAUAUUGGUGGGAUUUAAAGAUGUGCUGAAUGUAAUCUUCCAGGAGUUGAGAAAGUAUUCAUUAGAAUGCAUUGUCUCCUGCUGAGUUUGACCUUCACUACCCUGCUGGAGUGCACUGCAAUUUUUCAGCUGCCUUCAUUUUACUUUUCCUCCUUGGGUGAUAAUAAAAGUAAAGCAGUUUGCA